rnacentral:rRNA from 1 species
CCUACGGGUGGCAGCAGUGGGGAAUAUUGGACAAUGGGGGGAACCCUGAUCCAGCCAUGCCGCGUGUGUGAAGAAGGCCCUCGGGUUGUAAAGCACUUUCAGUGAGGAAGAACGCCUGGUGGUUAAUACCCAUCAGGAAAGACAUCACUCACAGAAGAAGCACCGGCUAACUCCGUGCCAGCAGCCGCGGUAAUACGGAGGGUGCGAGCGUUAAUCGGAAUUACUGGGCGUAAAGCGCGCGUAGGUGGCUUGAUAAGCCGGUUGUGAAAGCCCCGGGCUCAACCUGGGAACGGCAUCCGGAACUGUCAAGCUAGAGUGCAGGAGAGGAAGGUAGAAUUCCCGGUGUAGCGGUGAAAUGCGUAGAGAUCGGGAGGAAUACCAGUGGCGAAGGCGGUCUUCUGGACUGACACUGACACUGAGGUGCGAAAGCGUGGGUAGCAAACAGGAUUAGAUACCCGGGUAGUC